AUCCUUCGUUCGGACGCUUAAGUUUUACGGAGGUCGUUGCAUGGUUGUCGUCAGCUCGUGCCGUGAGGUGUCGGGUUAAGUCCCAUAACGAGCGCAACCCCUACCUUUAGUUGCCAUCAGGUUAAGCUGGGGACUCUAAAGGAACUGCCUACGCAAGUAGUGAGGAAGGCGGGGAUGACGUCAAAUCAGCACGGCCCUUACGUCCAGGGCUACACACGUGCUACAAUGGCCGAUACAGAGGGCAGCUACCUGGUGACAGGAUGCAAAUCUCCAAAGUCGGUCUCAGUUCGGAUCGGAGUCUGCAACCCGACUCCGUGAAGUUGGAUUCGCUAGUAAUCGCGCAUCAGCCACGGCGCGGUGAAUACGUUCCCGGGCCUU
rnacentral:rRNA from 1 species